CAUUCACAAAUCAAUCAAUGUGAUAUAUCACAUUAACAAACUGCUGAACAAAAACCAUAUGGCUAUCUCAAUAGAUGCAGAGAAAGCAUUUGAUAAAAUACAACACCCUUUCAUGAUGAAAACCCUAAGUAAAAUGAGUAUAGAAAGAACAUUCCUCAACACAAUCAAGGCAAUUUAUGACUCAUGGCCAGCAUCCUAUUGAAUGGGGAAAAGCUGGAAGCAUUCCCACUGAGAUCUGGUACCAGAUAGGGAUGCCCACUCUCACCAUUGCUAUUCAAUAUAGUCCUGGAAGUGUUAGCCAGUGCCAUUAGGCAAGGAAAAGAAAUCAAAGGGAUAUAAAUUGGGAAGGAGGAAGUCAAACUAUCCCUAUUUGCAGAUUACAUGAAUCUAUAUAUAUAGGGGAUCCAAAAGACUCCACUAAGAGACUAUUGGAACUCAGAAGAGUUUGGCAAAAUAGUAGGAUAUAAAGUCAAUACAUAAAAAUCAACAGCCUUUGUAUACACAGAUAGUACCACAGCUGAGAAAGAACUUAAGAUCAAUUCCAUUCACAAUAACUACAAAAAAAUCAAAUACCUUGGAAUAAAUUUAACCAAGGAUGUCAAAGAUCUCUACAAUGAGAAUUACAAAACAUUAAAGAAAGAAAUAGAAGAAGAUAAAAAAAAAAGAAAAAUCUUCCAUGUUCAUGGAUUGGAAGAAUCAAUAUCAACAAAACGUCCAUUCUUCCAAAAGCAAUUUGCAGAUUCAAUGCAAUACCAAUCAAAAUACCAAAGACAUUCUUCUUAGACCUAGAAAAAAUGAUGCUGAAACUCAGUUGGAGGCACAGGAAACUUUGAAUAACUAAAGCAAUCUAAAGCAAUAGAAACAAAGCUGGAGGCAUCACAAUACCAGAUUUCAAGACAUACUACAAGAAAGUUAAAAUCAAAACAGCCUGGUACUGAUACAAAAACAGAUGGAUAGACCAAUGGAAUAGAAUAGAAAUGCCAAAAAUCAAUCCAAACAUCUACAACCAACUUACAUCUGACAAAGGAGCUAAAACCAAUCCCUGGAGGAAGGACAGUCUCUUCAACAAAUGGUGCUGGGAAAACUGGAUUUCCACAUGCAGAAGUACGAAGCAAGACCCCUACCUUACACCUUAUACAAAAAUCCACUGACACUAUGAGAAGCAAUGACUUGAACAGCUCUUGUCUUGACUGUUGAGGAACAGUUUAUUAUUUUAUUAUUAUUUUUUUCUACUUUGUCCCAUUGGUUGAACCAUUACUUAACAUAGAAUUAAUCAUAGGUGUAUAAAGUCAACUGAAAAUAGAUCCCGGUAAAAAAUAAGGGUGGGAAUAAGAGAGGGAGGAGCUGUACAAUUCGGCACACAUUCCUAUAGACUUACCCCUAAUAGUAAAGAUAAAAACUUCCAUGGGACACCAAAUCCCAUUGAGCUGGGUGGGUGGUACUGAUGCCAUCUCAUGUGUUAAAGUGAUCAUAUUAAGUAUGCAAUUGAUCAUAUAGAUAUGAUUAAAUGUCAAAGGAAUCACAUAAACAAGACCAGGUGUCUGGUAAUAACAAUAGAUAGAAUUUAAAAGGAGACAAUGUUCCAACAUUGGAAGCAGUCCACACAGCAGAUUCACAGAAUGACAAUCACUUUAAACAGCACUCUGUGUUAACUGUUAAAUCAACAACAGGAGGCACUAGCCUCCUGGAGCAGUCCCAGAAUGAGCCUCACUGCAAACCUGGGAGGUUUCAGCCAGGCUGCACCACGGCAGGCAGAAUGACGCCCCUCCAAAGAGGUCCACAUCUUAAUCCUGGAUCUGCUGAAUAUGUGGUAUUACAGUGCAAGAGGAACUUGGCAGAUGCGACUAAGGUAUUUAUCCCUAAGGAAUGAAAACAAGCUGACACCUGCAUGUUCCCAGCAGCCUUACACUGGAAACGUCUGACUGGACCACUGGUGAAUGGACAUACAGUGGCACAGUCACACAGUGGCAUACUCCUCGGCAAUAAAGAGCACAAACUACAGACGCAUGUAACAGAGGCACUGUUAUGUUGAAAAGAAAAAGAAAGGCAGACAGAAACAGGUACACAGGGUACCUGGAAAAGCCCAUGGGCAAUGGAAUUAAGGGGUGUGUGCUGCGGUGCCGUGUUUAAGCCACCACUCAGGACACCCACAUUUUACAGGCGCCAGUUUAGGCUCCUUCCAAGCCAGCUCCCUGCUGAUGUACCUGCUAUGGCAGCGGAUGAGUCCGUGCAGUCCACAUGGAAAGCCUGGAUGGGAUUCCUGGCUCCUGGCUCUGGCCUGGCCCAGAACUGACGGCUGCAGCCAUUUGGGGAGUGAGCCAGCGGAUAGAAGAUCAUUCUGUCAUUCCUUCUUCCUUUCACUCUAUU